rnacentral:rRNA from 1 species
UGGAUCCAGACUUUGAUUAUGGCUCAGGAUGAACGCUAGCGGCAGGCUUAACACAUGCAAGUCGAGGGGCAGCAUAAUGGAUAGCAAUAUCUAUGGUGGCGACCGGCGCACGGGUGCGUAACGCGUAUGCAACCUACCUUUAACAGGGGGAUAACACUGAGAAAUUGGUACUAAUACCCCAUAAUAUCAUAGAAGGCAUCUUUUAUGGUUGAAAAUUCCGAUGGUUAGAGAUGGGCAUGCGUUGUAUUAGCUAGUUGGUGGGGUAACGGCUCACCAAGGCGACGAUACAUAGGGGGACUGAGAGGUUAACCCCCCACACUGGUACUGAGACACGGACCAGACUCCUACGGGAGGCAGCAGUGAGGAAUAUUGGUCAAUGGACGCAAGUCUGAUCCAGCCAUGCCGCGUGCAGGAUGACGGCUCUAUGAGUUGUAAACUGCUUUUGUACGAGGGUAAACGCAGAUACGUGUAUCUGUCUGAAAGUAUCGUACGAAUAAGGAUCGGCUAACUCCGUGCCAGCAGCCGCGGUAAUACGGAGGAUUCAAGCGUUAUCCGGAUUUAUUGGGUUUAAAGGGUGCGUAGGCGGUUUGAUAAGUUAGAGGUGAAAUUUCGGGGCUCAACCCUGAACGUGCCUCUAAUACUGUUGAGCUAGAGAGUAGUUGCGGUAGGCGGAAUGUAUGGUGUAGCGGUGAAAUGCUUAGAGAUCAUACAGAACACCGAUUGCGAAGGCAGCUUACCAAACUAUAUCUGACGUUGAGGCACGAAAGCGUGGGGAGCAAACAGGAUUAGAUACCCUGGUAGUCCACGCAGUAAACGAUGAUAACUCGUUGUCGGCGAUACACAGUCGGUGACUAAGCGAAAGCGAUAAGUUAUCCACCUGGGGAGUACGUUCGCAAGAAUGCAACUCAAAGGAAUUGACGGA